UCCCCGUUGCCGGGGCAGUUUGAAUAGAAAAAUACAACUAUUCACAAGGGUUGCGCUCGUUGAUGGGCUUAACCAAACAUCUCACGACACGAGCUGACGACGGCCAUGCAUCACCUGUCACCAAGUUCAAUAAAGCACUCUCGCCUUUCGGUAAAAUUCUUGGGAUUUCAAACCCUGGUAAGGUUUAUCGUUUAUCAUCGAAUUAAAGAACACGCUCCACCGCUUGUGCGGGUCCCCGUCAAUUCCUUUGAGUUUUAGUCUUGCGACCGUACUCCCCAGGCGGAAUACUUAACGCGUUAGCUUCGCUACAUACCGGGUCGAUACGGCAUACAGCUAGUAUUCAUCGUUUACGGCGUGGACUAC
rnacentral:misc_RNA from 1 species